CAUGAGCUGUGCUCACCACUACUAACUAUCCUGUCCAUAGGCCCUAUAACGCCACUAUUCCUAAGCUUAAUCAAGGCUGUCAAUGCAACCCCAGUAUGAAGGCAUAUAAACAUCCCAGUAGAAUCAGCUUGUGCCAUUGCAUCCAUCAACUCCUCCUCUGUGGCUUCCUCAACAAUCCCAUUCGAAUUCUUCAAAGCAUAAACAGCUCUAUCUAUAGAAACCGGGUCUCCAAUCUGUAUAGCUGAAGCAAACGUAGAAUUCGCUUUCACAGGCUUAAACUCUUCCCACCCUGACUUGUAAUGCAAGUAAAGAGGGUUAGCAUUUGCUGCUUGAACACAAACUAGCCUAGGUAUUCUAUCAAGAAGCCCCAACUCUUGACACAUUUUGAACCCUUUAUAGAAGGCAUAAAUAUUCCCUAAAUUACCACCGGCAACUAUAACCCAAUCUGGCACUUCCCAAUCAAACUGCUGCAAAAUCUCAAUUGCAGCAGUUUUUUGCCCUUCAAGCCUCAAACUAUUCAAAGAAAUGGCCAAGUAAAUGAGCAACUCGGAUGUAACCUCACGGAUUAGUUUCAUACACCCAUCGAAAUCAGUAUCUAUACUCAAUACAAAAGCUCCAUUUGCAAUUGGCUGAACCAAUUGCGCAAUUGAGAUCUUGUUUGCGGGCAAGAAGACAAUCGACGGAAUUCCAGCCGCCGCACAACACGCAGAGAGACCCGCUAAGGUCUCCUGUGGACGCGCAGCCAACUCCUACGACGGGCCGUUUCAUCUUGCGCAACCGGAUCACUUGGCUGACCAAAACAGUCAUGCCCAGGUCCUUAAAACUGCCGGUAUAGCUAAUGCCGCAGUGUUUAACCCAGAGAUCGUUCAUGCCCAGAAACUGUUUACCAAAACGCUCAGCCCAAAAUAGAUUUGAGUUCCCUUCGAAAGCCGACGCUAUGUCGUCAGGAUCAAUCUCUGGCAAAAUCCAUUCCUUCUUAGACCACACUCCAGACCCAUAAGACCACGUGGUCUUCCCCACGCGCGAGUCGAACGGGUUGCGCCAGUACGCGCCGUCGAAUUCUUCAGAGCUUCCAUGUCGUGCUGGACAUCGAGGAGACCACCGGAGCGACUCCUGCACACUAUCUCGUCGAGAGAGACCCACUCCAGGGAGUCAGGCCCGGCAUUGAACGGGACGUACUUAGCCGGAAAAGUAUUGGCAGCCAAGACAGAGCAUUGACGCCGAGUCUCGUCGCGGAUGUUCUCGUCGGCAGUUCGGCGGUGCUUGGUCACCUUAGGCGUGUUGUUGGAGGAGGGGGAGGGAUCAAGCGUGGAAGAAUUGCAUGAAGUUACGGUAGUACAGCGAGGGGAGGCGACAAGUUUGCUGUUUUGAUGGAAUCGUUUACGUUUGCAGGUGAGAGAAGAAGCGAAAGAGGGGUGAAAGGGUAAAGAAGAAGCAGGCAUGCCUGCGAAUGAGAGAGACGGCGAGUGGUUUCGUGGGUGAGCUUUGGUUUUGUUUUGGUUAGGAGAUGGACAGGAUGCGAUGCGUGUG
rnacentral:misc_RNA from 1 species